rnacentral:rRNA from 1 species
UACGGGGGGGGCAAGCGUUGUUCGGAAUUACUGGGCGUAAAGGGCUCGUAGGUGGCCAACUAAGUCAGACGUGAAAUCCCUCGGCUUAACCGGGGAACUGCGUCUGAUACUGGAUGGCUUGAGUUCGGGAGAGGGAUGCGGAAUUCAAGGUGUAGCGGUGAAAUGCGUAGAUAUCUGGAGGAACACCGGUGGCGAAGGCGGCAUCCUGGACCGACACUGACGCUGAGGAGCGAAAGCCAGGGGAGCAAACGGG